AGUCUUAAGAUAUUUAUUUAAGAUAAAACCUGCCCAGUGCAAAUUUUUGUUAACGGCCGCAGUACUUUGACUGUGCUAAGGUAGCAUAAUCAGUUGGCUUUUAAUUGGAGUCUGGAAUGAAUGGAAUCAUGGGGCUGAGCUGUCUCACUUAAACUUAUUUUAACUUAUUUAUUAGGUGAAAAUACCUAACAACAGGAAAAAAGACGAGAAGACCCUAGGAGCUUUUAAUAAAAGAAAUAUAUAUUUAUUUCCAUCUUUUUUGUUGGGGCAACAUUUGAGGAUAAACAAUCUCUACUUUGACUUGCCGACUAUGUAAGUAAGAUUAAGCUACCCUAGGGAUAACAGCGUAAUACUAUAUUUGGGUUUGCGACCUCGAUGUUGGACUAGGAAAUUGUUUGGUUAGCCGCCAAACUAGUUAGGUUCUGUUCGAACUUUUUAUCCU
rnacentral:rRNA from 1 species